ACGCUGAGGGGUAGAGAGGGGGGAGAUGCGAAGAUUGAAAGGGAUCUUUGCAAACACAAUCACGUUCUUAAAUGGAAAUGCGGGGCUUUAAACAAAUCUUACAUCUCUCCCGUUCCAGUCGCCUAAAAGUCCGCAAUCAGGCGCAUGUUCCACUCCUUCUAAAACCGAAGCUUUUUGCUACAGUGGGACGCGCUGUACUAUUUCUUCAUUUCAAUCCCAGGACUAGAGCACGAUUUAACGAGUUCCAAACCUUCCAUCUAACUCCGUGACGGGCUUGAAAGCAUCAAGCUUGGGAUGCCUAAGCCCCUUCUCAGCUCCUGUCUACCUGUCUGCUGGGGUGUUGGUGCCUGGGAUUCAACCAUCAGCCCUAACCUGUGUGGCUUCCUGUCCGUCCACAGAGGGACCCAAUCCUCUACUUUGAAUUCAAGGGGCCUGAAGACAACACAGCCUCACGCAGGCUCAGCAACACGCAGGUUAUGACCCCAACAGGACAUACCACGCCACCCGGCCGGGCUGAGUUGUUACGCACUA